UUGACGAGUGCCCCGCUCCUCGCUAGCUCGUUACGCGUGCAAGCGAGGACUUAAUCGCUUGUGGCUUGUCCAACCAUACGCGUAGUCUGACUAGGAAACGUUUCCAUCAUCUACGUCGCAGUCGUUGCUGUUGACUCGAAGCACUUUUCGUCGGUGCACAUCAAAGGAUGGCCACACACACUCACCUGUGAUGGCGUUGCAACGCUUGGCGAUAGCCGUUGAUGACUCUACAUAUACAAUUCAUCUGUCCUACCGUCUUUCCAAAUCGGUAUACCAUUUUGCACGAAUUCUCGGAAGCAAUAAAUGAACAGUAGUAUCUGGUAAUUGCCCAGCAGGACUUACAAAGUUUGCAAUAGCAGCGUCAGUGCAGUCGAACAGGAUGGUCACACGGAGUGCCCCGUACUCGUACAGUAUUUUUUCCAUAAAGUAGGCCAUGAACUUCCGCAUCUCCUGCACUCGAGACGAAUCCUUGAAGUGGCCCUUGACAUGAACCAUCACUGCAUUUCGAAGAACGGUCAGUAUAUCAUGCUGGCAACAGCCAUCAUCACUAUCAGCGAACAACAGAGGCACUCACGCAAAUGGCUUCCUGUCUUGUCCUGGUUGUAGGGCACCAGGACGCGUCUGUCGAAGAAGUCUACUUCAAGGUCCUCCUCGCGGAGGUCUUUAAAACGGAAAAAAAUAAAUCAACGCCAUACAAA